AUUGAACGCUGGCGGCAUGCCUUACACAUGCAAGUCGAACGGCAGCACGGGAGUAAUCCUGGUGGCGAGUGGCGAACGGGUGAGUAAUGUAUCGGAACGUGCCCAGUCGUGGGGGAUAACGUAGCGAAAGCUACGCUAAUACCGCAUACGAUCUAUGGAUGAAAGCGGGGGAUCGCAAGACCUCGCGCGAUUGGAGCGGCCGAUAUCAGAUUAGGUAGUUGGGGGGGUAAAGGCUCACCAAGCCGACGAUCUGUAGCUGGUCUGAGAGGACGACCAGCCACACUGGGACUGAGACACGGCCCAGACUCCUACGGGAGGCAGCAGUGGGGAAUUUUGGACAAUGGGCGCAAGCCUGAUCCAGCAAUGCCGCGUGCAGGAUGAAGGCCUUCGGGUUGUAAACUGCUUUUGUACGGAACGAAACGGCGAGCUCUAAUACAGUUUGCUAAUGACGGUACCGUGAGAAUAAGCACCGGCUAACUACGUGCCAGCAGCCGCCGCAG
rnacentral:rRNA from 1 species